rnacentral:rRNA from 1 species
UAGGGAAUCUUCCGCAAUGGACGAAAGUCUGACGGAGCAACGCCGCGUGAGCGAUGAAGGCCUUCGGGUCGUAAAGCUCUGUUGUUAGGGAAGAACAAGUGCUAGUUGAAUAAGCUGGCACCUUGACGGUACCUAACCAGAAAGCCACGGCUAACUACGUGCCAGCAGCCGCGGUAAUACGUAGGUGGCAAGCGUUGUCCGGAAUUAUUGGGCGUAAAGCGCGCGCAGGCGGUUUCUUAAGUCUGAUGUGAAAGCCCCCGGCUCAACCGGGGAGGGUCAUUGGAAAGUGGGGAACUUGAGUGCAGAAGAGGAAAGUGGAAUUCCAAGGGUAGCGGUGAAAUGCGUAGAGAUUUGGAGGAACACCAGUGGCGAAGGCGACUUGCUGGUCUGUAACUGACGCUGAGGCGCGAAAGCGUGGGGAGCAAACAGGAUUAGAUACCAGUAAUC